CACUCAUGUUUUUCCUUCAUAGCGUACAAAUCUUUCGCCUUUUACUAAAGAUUUCCGUGGAGAGGAACACCAUGAGUUUUGACGAAUUUUUUGAUACUCCGCUAAAAAGUGAGGUU